CCUACGUGCGUCAGCAGUGGGGAAUAUUGCACAAUGGGGGAAACCCUGAUGCCGCGACGCCGCGUGAGUGAAGAAGUAUUUCGGUAUGUAAAGCUCUAUCAGCAGGGAAGAAACUGACGGUACCUGAUUACGACGCCCCGGCUCACUACGUGCCAGCAGCCGCGGUACUACGUAGGGGGCAAGCGUUAUCCGGAUUUACUGGGUGUAAAGGGAGCGUAGACGGCAGCACAAGUCUGGAGUGAAAUGCCGGGGCUUAACCCCGGAACUGCUUUGGAAACUGGGCAGCUAGAGUGCAGGAGAGGUAAGUGGAAUUCCUAGUGUAGCGGUGAAAUGCGUAGAUAUUAGGAGGAACACCAGUGGCGAAGGCGGCUUACUGGACUGUAACUGACGUUGAGGCUCGAAAGCGUGGGGAGCAAACAGGAUUAGAUACCCCAGUAGUC
rnacentral:rRNA from 1 species